rnacentral:lncRNA from 1 species
GGAGGAAAGUGUCAUUUUAGCAUCUCGCAGGGGAGGGAGUGAAAUUUUCUCUUUACUUUACUACUCAUGGAGGAACAGUAAUCGCUCAUUUAAUCUUCUAUAUUUGUAUUGAAAAUAAAUGUCCCAUUAUUAUAUAAACAGUUAUCCAAAAACAAAAAUUAAAAAGAUUUGUCCUUCUUUAAACUAAAUACUCUUAUGGAUUAAAGAAAUAAUUAGUUAUAUAUAUGGAAAUGUAUAAUUUCAAUUUAUUUUGUGGCCGCAUUAAAAUUUUAUUUCCUUGUUCUUUAAUUAGUUUUUAUAGGGCGAGGUAGAAAAAUAAAUUAAUG